ACGCGCGGAACCUUACCAUCCUUUGACAUGGCGUGUUACCCAGAGAGAUUUGGGGUCCACUUCGGUGGCGCGCACACAGGUGCUGCAUGGCUGUCGUCAGCUCGUGUCGUGAGAUGUUGGGUUAAGUCCCGCAACGAGCGCAACCCACGUCCUUAGUUGCCAUCAUUCAGUUGGGCACUCUAGGGAGACUGCCGGUGAUAAGCCGCGAGGAAGGUGUGGAUGACGUCAAGUCCUCAUGGCCCUUACGGGA
rnacentral:rRNA from 1 species